CAGUUGCGCUACAACGCUACAGUCGUCAUCAUGCUAUCUCAUACUGAAAGAAAAUCCGGUUUUCACAAAAGGAAAGAGAGAAAGGAGAGAGAGGCAAAAGAAAGGGUGUCAAUAUGUGAGCCAGUUCUUCUCCAAGAAAGACUCAACAACAGAUGAGUCAGAAGCAGCAGCCCUGUCUCCCCAUAACCUUACCCCUCCCCAUCCCAUUGAAGAAGCCUACAACUGUCUGUACUGGAUGCCUGACAGUUGAAGAAAACGGCUGCCCCACGAGUAGAGAGAGCUACAGACACAGUGGAGCAAAGCUUGUGACAUCACACAGCCCAGAGGUAAGGGAAAGGCUAAGUUAGCAUGCUAUUUACAGAGAUAGCACUGGCGAUCUGAACCGGUCAGUGGCGAAAAAACACACACUUCACACAUACAUACUCAUUUGCAAUACCGAGCAGGGACGCCAUCCGCCUCUCUGCUCCAACACUGACUGACAGCUGACUCUACUCAUUCACAUUCACCACUGCCCCAGGGCCGCUACAAUAUG